ACUUUUAGCUCAGUUGGUAGAGCAACUGACUCUUAAUCAGUGGGUCGGGGGUUCGAGCCCCCCAAAGU
rnacentral:tRNA from 1 species